rnacentral:rRNA from 1 species
UACGUAGGGGGCAAGCGUUGUCCGGAAUCAUUGGGCGUAAAGGGCGCGUAGGCGGUCACGCACGUCCGUUGUGAAAUCGCUCGGCUCAACUGGGCGGGGUCAGCGGAUACGGCGUGGCUGGAGCAAGCUAGGGGGCAAUGGAAUUCCCGGUGUAGUGGUGGAAUGCGUAGAUAUCGGGAGGAGCACCAGUGGCGAAGGCGGUUGCCUGGAGCUUUGCUGACGCUGAUGCGCGAAAGCGUGGGGAGCGAUCCGG